AACAACUCUCAGCAACGGAUAUCUUGGCUCUUGCAACGAUGAAGAACGCAGCGAAAUGCGAUACGUAGUGUGAAUUGCAGAAUUCCGCGAAUCAUCGAGUCUUUGAACGCAAGUUGCGCCCGAGGCUUGACCAAGGGCAUCCGGAGGGAGGGAGAGAGGGGCUGCCAGAGCGUCACC
rnacentral:rRNA from 1 species